GCAGGUGUCGUAUAAUGGCUAUUACCUCAGCCUUCCAAGCUGAUGACGAGGGUUCGAUUCCCUCUACCUGCUCCA
rnacentral:tRNA from 1 species